CCACCCUCCUGCCCCCAGCCGGACCCCGCGUGUGCCCUCGUUCGCCCCGUGCUCCGCCCAUGGAGGCCACCCCGAUCUCCGUCAAGCCCCCCUCGCCGCCCCCGCCCCCGCCCCCGCACCUCACGGCGGCGGUGCCCCUCUCGGCCGUGGAGCCCCCGCCCUCGCCGCCGCCGGCCGUGGCGGCGGCCCCGGAGGGCCCCGACGCGCUGCCGGAUCCCACCAGCAUGAACCAGCUCGCGCUCGCCACCACGCCCAAGAGGCAGAAGCUGGAGGACGCCGCGGAUGGGUGCAAGCAUUGCGCCUGCAAAAAGUCCAGAUGCCUGAAGCUGUAUUGUCCAUGUUUUGCUGGUGGAGGUUAUUGUUCUGAAAAAUGUGGAUGCGUGCCAUGUUUCAACAAGUCUGAUUUUGCAGAGACAGUUCAGACCACUCGCAAGGUGCUACUUUCACGUCAGAAACGGAUGUCUCUGAAAAUUAAUAGAAGACUGGAGGCUAAUGCUGAAACUAUGGAAGAUGCACACAAUUCUUCUUCUUCAACUCCACCAAGGCGAGGUUGCAAUUGCAAGAAAUCAAGUUGCCUAAAGAAAUACUGUGAUUGCUACCAGGAUGGGACUGGAUGCUCCUUAUUUUGUCGAUGCGAGGAUUGCAAGAAUCCUUAUGGGAAAAAUGAAGGUUUUAUGGCGGACGAAAGCAAGCGUUUUAUAUACACCGGUGCGGAUCUGGACCAUAGCGAGGACGAACACGACUUUGUCGUGGAGCGUUCGCCUCGCCUGCAAUCGCCCAUCUCAAAGGAGUCCUCUUUCCAACACACCCCGCCUCGCAGCAAGGCCUCGAGCAGAGACACGCACCUGCUGCCGCAGGUGCUGUCGCAGUGGCAGCCGCGCUCAUGGCAGCUGUCCUUGAAGAGGCAGGGCAACGACCACCGGGCGGUCGACGACUCGGGAGAGAACCACAAGAGCUCGAGCCACGAGUGGCAGCUGGCGAAGCACCAGGUCCAGGAGGACGCCUACAGCAUCUCGCGGUGCGUCCAGAUCCUGAACGGCAUGGUGGAGCUGUCGCAGGUGGAGAAGUCGGUGGCCCCCGACGUGUUCCUGCAGCCGGGCAACCGGGAGAUAUUCGUCUCCCUGGGGCUCGACGUCCGCGCCCUGUGGCUCAAGCGCAAGAUCCAGCACCUGACUUAGGGCAGCAGUGUUUUUUUCUCUAGUGUUGUUGGGGCCUCCGGGUGAGGUUUGAGGGGGAGCAUUGGAUGUUGCGUUUAUAGAUGAUGAUGGUGAUGGAUGCCCUGCUGGCCGAUUGGAAUUCACACAGUACAAAGUUGUUGUACCAAAGCUGCUGCGUCAAUUACUCCCUCCGUCUCAUAGUCUCAUAAUAUAAGAGCAUACUCCCUCCGUCUCAUAAUAUAAGAACAUUUAUUAUGAAGAAUAAUAAGAACGUUUAUUAUGAGAGAGGGAGUAGUUUGGAUCAGAGGGAGUAUAAGAAUUGUAUACAGAAAGUGUACAUGGAAUGUCCUUUCCUCGUGUAUCAAACAGGGCCUGGAGUUCCUGUGGAUCACCUAUCGACAC